rnacentral:pre_miRNA from 1 species
AAUGUACUUCCUUCUGUUCAUAUUAUUUAUCUUGAUUUGUCUAGAUAUGGAUGUAUCUAGACAUGUUUAGUGUUAGAACAUCCGUAUCUAGACAAAUUCAAGAUAAAUAUUUGGAACCGGAGGGAGUAUGUG